rnacentral:rRNA from 1 species
GCUUACACAUGCAAGUCUACGAGAAAGAGGUAGCAAUAUCUUGAUUAAAGUGGCGCACAGGUGAGUAACACGUAAGUAAUCUACCCAUAGAUUUGGAAUAACCCCGCGAAAGUGGGGCUAAUACCGUAUAAUGCAACGGCACCGCAUGGUGAUGUUGUUAAAGUUUAUAUGACGUCUAUGGAUGAGCUUGCGCCCGAUUAGCUAGUUGGUAGAGUAAAAGCCUACCAAGGCAACGAUCGGUAGCUGGUCUGAGAGGAUGAUCAGCCACACUGGAACCGAGACACGGUCCAGACUCCUACGGGAGGCAGCAGUGAGGAAUAUUGGGCAAUGCCCGGAAGGGUGACCCAGCAACGCCGCGUGGAGGAUGAAGGCCGUAAGGUUGUAAACUCCUGUUAGAGGGGAAGAAAAACUCCGAUAGAAUCGGAGACUGACUGUACCCUCAGAGGAAGCCCCGGCUAACUACGUGCCAGCAGCCGCGGUAAUACGUAGGGGGCAAGCGUUGUCCGGAUUCACUGGGUGUAAAGGGCGCGUAGGCGGGCUAGCAAGUCAGAGGUGAAAUCCUACAGCUUAACUGUAGAACUGCCUUUGAAACUGUUAGUCUUGAGUGCGGAAGAGAGAGACGGAAUUCCAGGUGUAGCGGUGAAAUGCGUAGAUAUCUGGAGGAACACCAGUCGCGAAGGCGGUCUCUUGGUCCGUAACUGACGCUCAGGCGCGAAAGCGUGGUUAGCAACAGGAUUAAAU